rnacentral:rRNA from 1 species
UACAGAGGUCCCAAGCGUUGUUCGGAUUCACUGGGCGUAAAGGGUGCGUAGGCGGUCGGGUAAGUCUGACGUGAAAUCUUCAAGCUUAACUUGGAAACUGCGUCGGAUACUAUUCGGCUUGAGGAAUGGAGGGGAGACUGGAAUACUUGGUGUAGCAGUGAAAUGCGUAGAUAUCAAGUGGAACACCAGUGGCGAAGGCGAGUCUCUGGACAUUUCCUGACGCUGAGGCACGAAAGCCAGGGGAGCAAACAGG